AUUAGUUGGAAGUCCAAGAAAUAACCUGUAGUUUCUUUAUCCUCUGCUGAAGCUGAGUAUAGGGCUCUCAGUAAGAUAGUAGCUGAAUUGUCUUGGCUUUCUCGUUUGCUCACUGACAUUGGUGUUUCUGUUUCUCUUCCCUUUUCUAUUUUUUGUGACAACCAGGCUGCUAUACAUAUUGCCAAGAAUCCUAUUUUUCAUGAGCGGACCAAGCAUAUUAAGGUAGAUUGUCACUUUGUUAGAGACCUGUUGACUGGUGGGCUCAUUACUCUCUCACAUAUCUCUACUUCUCGUCAGCUGGCUGACCUUCUCACCAAGCAUUUUUCAUGAGCAGACCAAGCAUAUCGAGGUAGAUUAUCAAUUUGUGAGAGAUCUGUUAGCUGGUGGGCUCAUUACUCUCUCCCAUGUCCCUACGUCUCGUCAGCUGGCUGACCUUCUCACCAAGCCUCUGCAUGGCACUAUCCUACAUCCUUUGCUGGUCAAGUUGAAGGUGGUCUCCUCCUCCAACUUGGGGGGGUG
rnacentral:lncRNA from 1 species